GACGAACGCUGGCGGCGUGCUUAACACAUGCAAGUCGAGCGGUAAGGCCCUUUCGGGGGUACGACGAGCGGCGAACGGGUGAGUAACACGUGGGUGACCUGCCCUCCAGCUCUGGGAGUAAGACCUGGGAAACUAGGGUCGUAAUACCGGAUAUGACCCCACUGACGCAUGUCGUGGGGUGGAAAGCCUUGUGCGGCUGAGGAUGGGCCCGGCGGCCUAUCAGCUUGUUGGUGGGGUGAUGGCCUACCAAGGCGACGACGGGUAGCCGGCCUGAGAGGGCGACCGGCCACACUGGGACUGAGACACGGCCCAGACUCCUACGGGAGGCAGCAGUGGGGAAUCUUGCGCAAUGGGCGAAAGCCUGACGCAGCGACGCCGCGUGAGGGAUGACGGCCUGG
rnacentral:rRNA from 1 species